rnacentral:lncRNA from 1 species
UUGUGAUUUGAACAAGGGUAAUUUAGAAAAUAUGAAAAAAUUCGAAUGAUAGAAAAGUAAAUUUAUGUUUCAUUUUAAUUCCCACAUUUUCAUUCCCAACCCCCCCAUUGAAAUGACAUUCUCAUUCCUUAUUCUCAAAUUGUGUGAGACCCACACAUUUUAUUCUUAUUCUCAAAUGACAUUUUAUCAAGUAAACAUAGGUUUCAUUCUCAUUCCCCAAACCCAUAAGUAAACACACCAAUGGAUGUAGAAAUGAAGGUGAGAUUGAAAUUGGCUUUGUAUGCACAAAUUGGACUUCUUCGAUGCCAUUAUUGAGCAAGCAAGGGAGCAAGGGCUGAACAUUCAAUUGAAAUGGUCGCCAAUUGAAGGGUCUUCCUACUAUGCACCUGGUGUGUGCAUGGUUCCUUGUGACAUGACAUAUAAUUAAUUAAAUUCUGACAUGCGUGCAAUAAAGCCUGUAAAGUGAUCGGUUAUUCCGGUUGAAUUCACAAGAGCUCUUGUUUGUGUGUUUAUGUUCCAGGUUGUGUAUUCUGUGUUGCGAGUUCUCUAAUUAGUCUAAUAUUAUCGCAACUGUUGCUCAAUAAUGUUACAAGUAUUAUAAUGUAUGUCAUUGGUACAGUCUCUGUCUCAAGUGGUAAACAUUAAGGCACAAAUUUAGAAAGAAAAGUACCCAAUAAAAUAAGUUAUUUAAUUAAUUAAAUAAGAAUAAAAUGAAUGUGUGAAAGAAAUUUAAAUUUAAAUUUUGAAUUAUUUUGACCAAAAUUUAAGUUUUUUUUUUUAAUUUGUUUAAGAAAAGGCGUUGUAAUUGUCUUGUUUUAAUUGGAAAAUCAAUGAAAAAAUUAUGUAACAGAAAAAAAAAACAAAAAAAAAAGCAAAACGUUUUGUUUUGGAUGGAGGCCACAGAUUCCGAUAUUUCCUUGACGAAAACUACAAAAAUUAGCAAAGGCACCAAUUUCUACACUCUCACCGAGCAAAUACUCUCAACCCAGAAGAAAGUGUAUAAACCAACCCCAAUCAGUCCAUCAAUGUUGUCAACCUCAUACAGCAUAAAGAAAAUCUACGUCCAUUAAACCGCCAGUUAAAUCGUCUUUAUUGAGCCAUUAGACUAUUCGUGUCAUCUUGCCAUAUCUCGUUGUAGUAUUUUGCCGUUCAAAUCUCAUCAUCAUCAAGUACUACCAGAAUCUCUUCGGUGGCAUGUUUUCAAAUGUUAUAUGUUGUGAAAAUAAUUUUUAAAUUAAUACUGUCCACUUUUUUAAAAAUUUAUUAUGUUAUUAUGGGUUAGUUCAAUUAGGUGGGAAUAAAUUUCUUUUUUUUUUUCUUGUUAUAUUAUGCGGGUAUUGGCUUUGAAAAUCCUUGAAUUGAACCGUAAUUGGACCCUAUGUUAUACAAGUAUUUAAAAUAAAUAAAAAAACUUUAAUUGGGUACUAUGCUCACGGUGGUGGACCCAGUAGCAGUAAUCUUUAGAGUGGAGCUAUUUGUACUUUAAAAAUUAUUUUAAACACUCUAAUUUCAAUAAGAAUACGUAUUACUUAUCAUAUAAGUUACUAUUAAGGACAAUAUAUUAUAAGUCAACAUUAUAUAAUUACUUUGAACACUUAUAUAGCACAAUCCGUAUUCAAUUUAUUAUUCCCAUGACUUAAAUCUAAAAAUUUUUAUUUCCAACAUCUUAAUUAAUAUGUAGAUGAAUAAUAAGGAAAUUAACUCUGAGAAAAA